rnacentral:rRNA from 1 species
UACGAGAGGCCCAAACGUUAUUCGGAAUUACUGGGCUUAAAGAGUCCGUAGGCGGCGCGGAAAGUGGGGUGUGAAAUCCCCCGGCUUAACCGAGGAAUUGCGCUCCAAACUGCCGUGCUUGAGGAACCUAGAGGUGAGCAGAACUGAUGGUGGAGCGGUGAAAUGCGUUGAUAUCAUCAGGAAUACCGGAGGCGAAGGCGGCUCACUGGGGGUUUUCUGACGCUGAGGGACGAAAGCCAGGGUAGCGAACGGG